rnacentral:lncRNA from 1 species
CUACUAUAUAUAUGAGAAAAAUGACUGAAAAAGAAACAUUGCAAAGUGAAGCUAAAUUUCUGAAUAGGUAUGUAUCAUUUCACCUACUCUAUGUUUGAAUAAGCUAAAUUUCUGAAUAGUUUAGUUGUAAUUUAGAAAUUACUACUAGUAUAUAUGCUCCAUAUUUUUUACAUCUUAUAUAUAUUAUUUUGAAUUGACUUUUUUUAUAAAUAGGUGUAGAUUUAUCUGGCAACAAGGAAGGUUGUGAACAAGCUAGAAUAUGGUUUUUGAGAAAUAAAGAACUCUUUGGGAGAAAAGAUGAUAUUAGAGAUCCUAGUUGGUAAAUGGAGGUCAAUCAAGGUAAUUCCAUGAGCAGAGCUCUCAAAUGUUGGGAAUAACUGCUCAAAAUGUUUGUUCACCUCCAAACAAGUGGAAAGAACUCACAAGAAAGGAAAAAGAUAUAACACUGAUUAAAUUACACUGUAUUUUUUUAGACAAUCAUAUUUUUAUUGUAGGACAUUAGUUCGUCAUAUAUAUGUGACAGAAAUGGACAUUAUAUUUCCUUAUCAAUAAUUAAUAUUUUCUUUGACAAUGAAUUAUCUUUGUAUUUUUGAUAAUUGUAAUUGUCACUAAUCCUAUUAAUUUGUAG